AAUGAACGUUGGCGGCGUGGAUUAGGCAUGCAAGUCGAGCGAGAACCGGUUUCGGCCGGGGACAGCGGCGAACGGCGUAGUAAUGCAUCGGAACGUACCCUCUGGUCGGGGAUAGCUACGGGAAACUGUAGGUAAUACCCGAUAAACUCUGCGGAGCAAAGGUGAGAUUCCGCCGGAGGAGCGGCUGAUGUGAUAUUAGCUAGUUGGUGGGGUAAAGGCUUACCAAGGCGAUGAUGUCUAGGGGGUGUGAGAGCAUGGCCCCCACGACCGGAACUGAGAUACUGUCCGGACACCUACGGGUGGCUGCAGUCGAGAAUCUUCCGCAAUGGACGAAAGUCUGACGGAGCGACGCCGCGUGCGGGAUGAAGGCCCUUGGGUUGUAAACCGCUGUCAGAGGGGAUGAAAUCUCCGAAGGUACUCCUUCGGAGUUGACAGAGCCUCAAAGGAAGCACGGGCUAAGUACGUGCCAGCCGCCGCCGUAACAC
rnacentral:rRNA from 1 species